UACGGAAGGGGCAAGCGUUGUUCGGAAUCAUUGGGCGUAAAGGGCGCGUAGGCGGUCUUGUUUGUCUGCUGUGAAAGUCCACGGCUCACCCGUGGAGAGUCGGUGGAAACGGCAAGACUUGAGGCUGGGAGGGGUUGGUGGAAUUCCCUGUGUAGCGGUGAAAUGCGUAGAUACGGGGGAGAACACUCGUGGCGAAGGCGGCCAGCUGGCCCAGUCCUGACGCUGAGGCGCGACAGCGUGGGGAGCGAACAGG
rnacentral:rRNA from 1 species